rnacentral:rRNA from 1 species
AGAGUUUGAUCCUGGCUCAGGACGAACGCUGGCGGCGUGCUUAACACAUGCAAGUCGAACGAUGAAGCCCUUCGGGGUGGAUUAGUGGCGAACGGGUGAGUAACACGUGGGCAAUCUGCCCUUCACUCUGGGACAAGCCCUGGAAACGGGGUCUAAUACCGGAUAACACUCCUGCCUGCAUGGGUGGGGGUUAAAAGCUCCGGCGGUGAAGGAUGAGCCCGCGGCCUAUCAGCUUGUUGGUGAGGUAGUGGCUCACCAAGGCGACGACGGGUAGCCGGCCUGAGAGGGCGACCGGCCACACUGGGACUGAGACACGGCCCAGACUCCUACGGGAGGCAGCAGUGGGGAAUAUUGCACAAUGGGCGAAAGCCUGAUGCAGCGACGCCGCGUGAGGGAUGACGGCCUUCGGGUUGUAAACCUCNUCAGCAGGGAAGAAGCGAAAGUGAC